rnacentral:rRNA from 1 species
AUACCAGCACCCCGAGUGGUCGGGACGAUUAUUGGGCCUAAAGCAUCCGUAGCCGGUACUGCAAGUCUUCCGUUAAUCCACCUGCUUAACAGUUGGGCUGCGGAGGAUACUACAGCGCUAGGAGGCGGGAGAGGCAAGCGGUACUCAGUGGGUAGGGGUAAAAUCCACUGAUCCAUUGAAGACCACCAGUGGCGAAGGCGGCUUGACAGAACGCGCUCGACGGUAAGGGAUGAAAGCUGGGGGAGCAAACCGGAUUAGAUACCCGGGUAGUCCCAGCUGUAAACGAUGCAGACUCGGUGAUGGGCUGGCCUUGUGCCAACCCAGUGCCGCAGGGAAGCCGUUAAGUCUGCCGCCUGGGGAGUACGGUCGCAAGACUGAAACUUAAAGGAAUUGACGGGG